GCGUCCUUAGCUCAGCUGGAUAGAGGACCUGGCCACGAACCAGACGGACGGAGGUUCGAAUCCUCCAGGACGCGCCA
rnacentral:tRNA from 1 species